rnacentral:rRNA from 1 species
AGAGUUUGAUCAUGGCUCAGAACGAACGCUGGCGGCAGGCUUAACACAUGCAAGUCGAACGAUGUAGCAAUACAUAGUGGCGCACGGGUGAGUAACGCGUGGGAAUAUACCUUAUAGUGGGGAAUAACUUUGGGAAACUAAAGCUAAUACCGCAUACGCCCGAGAGGGGAAAGAUUUAUCGCUAUAAGAUUAGCCCGCGUGAGAUUAGGUAGUUGGUGGGGUAAUGGCCUACCAAGCCUACGAUCUCUAGCUGGUCUGAGAGGAUGAUCAGCCACACUGGAACUGAGACACGGUCCAGACUCCUACGGGAGGCAGCAGUGGGGAAUAUUGAGCAAUGGAGGAAACUCUGACCCAGCCAUGCCGCGUGAAUGAUGAAGGCCUUAGGGUUGUAAAGUUCUUUCGCCGAUGAAGAUAAUGACGGUAGUCGGAGAAGAAGCCCCGGCUAACUUCGUGCCAGCAGCCGCGGUAAUACGAAGGGGGCUAGCGUUGUUCGGAAUUACUGGGCGUAAAGCGAGCGUAGGUUGCUCGAUAAGUCAGUGGUGAAAGCCCAGAGCUCAACUCUGGAACUGCCAUUGAAACUGUCGAGCUGGAAUCUCAGAGGGGGUAGCGGAAUUCCAAAUGUAGGGGUGAAAUCCGUAGAUAUUUGGAGGAACACCGGUGGCGAAGGCGGCUACCUGGAUGAGUAUUGACACUGAGGCUCGAAAGCGUGGGGAUCAAACAGGAUUAGAUACCCUGGUAGUCC